rnacentral:lncRNA from 1 species
UCGGCCGGAAAUGGCCAUGGCAUUGCUCAUUGUUCUGAUUUCUACUACUGUGGUUUCCGUUGCUGCUGAUGGUUACCCAUACAAUUCUCCACCACCACCUUAUGAGUACAAGUCACCUCCACCACCAUAUGAACAUAAGGCUCCACCUUACGAGUACAAGUCUCCACCUCCACCUUCCCCGUCACCUCCACCUCCUUAUGUAUACAAGUCACCACCUCCACCACCGUAUGAGCACAAAGCUCCACCAUAUGAGUACAAGUCUCCUCCACCACCUUCUCCAUCACCUCCACCUCCUUACUACUAUAAAUCUCCACCACCACCUUCUCCCUCACCCCCACCACCUUACUACUACAAGUN